rnacentral:rRNA from 1 species
GAUGAACGCUGGCGGCGUGCCUAAUACAUGCAAGUCGAGCGAACGGACGAGAAGCUUGCUUUUCUGAUGUUAGCGGCGGACGGGUGAGUAACACGUGGAUAACCUACCUAUAAGACUGGGAUAACUUCGGGAAACCGGAGCUAAUACCGGAUAAUAUUUUGAACCGCAUGGUUCAAAAGUGAAAGACGGUCUUGCUGUCACUUAUAGAUGGAUCCGCGCUGCAUUAGCUAGUUGGUAAGGUAACGGCUUACCAAGGCAACGAUGCAUAGCCGACCUGAGAGGGUGAUCGGCCACACUGGAACUGAGACACGGUCCAGACUCCUACGGGAGGCAGCAGUAGGGAAUCUUCCGCAAUGGGCGAAAGCCUGACGGAGCAACGCCGCGUGAGUGAUGAAGGUCUUCGGAUCGUAAAACUCUGUUAUUAGGGAAGAACAUAUGUGUAAGUAACUGCGCACAUCUUGACGGUACCUAAUCAGAAAGCCACGGCUAACUACGUG